AGAGUUCGAUCCUGGCUCAGAUUGAACGCUGGCGGCAGGCCUAACACAUGCAAGUCGAGCGGUAGAGAGGAGCUUGCUCCUCUUGAGAGCGGCGGACGGGUGAGUAAUGCCUAGGAAUCUGCCUGGUAGUGGGGGAUAACGUUCGGAAACGGACGCUAAUACCGCAUACGUCCUACGGGAGAAAGCAGGGGACCUUCGGGCCUUGCGCUAUCAGAUGAGCCUAGGUCGGAUUAGCUAGUUGGUGAGGUAAUGGCUCACCAAGGCGACGAUCCGUAACUGGUCUGAGAGGAUGAUCAGUCACACUGGAACUGAGACACGGUCCAGACUCCUACGGGAGGCAGCAGUGGGGAAUAUUGGACAAUGGGCGAAAGCCUGAUCCAGCCAUGCCGCGUGUGUGAAGAAGGUCUUCGGAUUGUAAAGCACUUUAAGUUGGGAGGAAGGGCAGUAAAUUAAUACUUUGCUGUUUUGACGUUACCGACAGAAUAAGCACCGGCUAACUCUGUGCCAGCAGCCGCGGUAAUACAGAGGGUGCAAGCGUUAAUCGGAAUUACUGGGCGUAAAGCGCGCGUAGGUGGUUUGUUAAGUUGGAUGUGAAAUCCCCGGGCUCAACCUGGGAACUGCAUUCAAAACUGACUGACUAGAGUAUGGUAGAGGGUGGUGGAAUUUCCUGUGUAGCGGUGAAAUGCGUAGAUAUAGGAAGGAACACCAGUGGCGAAGGCGACCACCUGGACUAAUACUGACACUGAGGUGCGAAAGCGUGGGGAGCAAACAGGAUUAGAUACCCUGGUAGUCCACGCCGUAAACGAUGUCAACUAGCCGUUGGAAGCCUUGAGCUUUUAGUGGCGCAGCUAACGCAUUAAGUUGACCGCCUGGGGAGUACGGCCGCAAGGUUAAAACUCAAAUGAAUUGACGGGGGCCCGCACAAGCGGUGGAGCAUGUGGUUUAAUUCGAAGCAACGCGAAGAACCUUACCAGGCCUUGACAUCCAAUGAACUUUCUAGAGAUAGAUUGGUGCCUUCGGGAACAUUGAGACAGGUGCUGCAUGGCUGUCGUCAGCUCGUGUUGUGAGAUGUUGGGUUAAGUCCCGUAACGAGCGCAACCCUUGUCCUUAGUUACCAGCACGUCAUGGUGGGCACUCUAAGGAGACUGCCGGUGACAAACCGGAGGAAGGUGGAGAUGACGUCAAGUCAUCAUGGCCCUUACGGCCUGGGCUACACACGUGCUACAAUGGUCGGUACAGAGGGUUGCCAAGCCGCGAGGUGGAGCUAAUCCCACAAAACCGAUCGUAGUCCGGAUCGCAGUCUGCAACUCGACUGCGUGAAGUCGGAAUCGCUAGUAAUCGCGAAUCAGAAUGUCGCGGUGAAUACGUUCCCGGGCCUUGCACACACCGCCCGUC
rnacentral:rRNA from 1 species